rnacentral:lncRNA from 12 species
CCGAGUGUGUGUCUGAUGGCCCUGAGUUACAUGAGUGCUGGGCUGUGAAGGAAGAUAUGCCAGCUGCCUCCCAGUUCUGAUGAGGACAACCCCCAGGACUGGCCAGGUCAGUUGUCUGGAAUCAUCACUGAACUCCCAUGGCUCUUUCAACUGACUACAUAAUGUGGCAAAGUCAAUGCUUAUCUGCUUGGCUAGCCACUACGUAUUC